CCCGUAGCUGCGGGACGUCGGGGACAAGCGUCCGCCCGGGUCCCCGCACCCCAGCGCUGCUCGCCCGGGGCUCCCCGGCACCCUGCCCCGCGGGGGCUGCGUCCGCGGUCGGCUGGGGAAACCUCAGAUCGGGCACUUGACCUCGGUUGAGUCGUCCCUUUGUCCUAGAACAGCAGGGAGGACGAGGGGGGGGCCCCCCGCGCCUGAACGCGCCCAGCCGGCCCCCAGGCACUGAGGUGACACUACAAGCUGUGUCCAUUUCCACCUAAUAUUACGGCUCUCCCGCCUGCCCACCCGCUGUGAGCUCGGCACCGCGAGGCGCAUCCUGAGCUGGGUUUCUCCGUGGAGGGCAGGCCCCUGGCCUGGUCCUCCUACUGCGCACCCUGCCAGGAAGGGGACUCCCCACUGGGUGACCUUUAGGGUGGUGCUAGGGGUGGAGGUGUCCCGCUGGCCCGGAGCCGCCCCGUUUGGUGGGGGUCGGGCACUGGACUUCGCCCCGCUGCCCUGUCUGGCCAGGGGAGGGCUGUGCGGAAGAGGGUAUGGCCUGGGGCAGCGGGUGUCGGGAAAGGGCUUUGCAGGCAAAGGCGCGGAGGCGCCACACCCUGAGUUUUUGGGCUACGAUUGGGUCCCGGUGAACCACGGACACAGGCCAUUCGGGGCGGGCGGGACUCACACGUCAAAGCAGUGCGCUGCCGACAGCAGCCACCUCUCGGCCACCAGCACGGCCCCGCAGCGGUGCUCCCGCCGCCGUAGCCACAGGCUCACCUGCCACGGCCACUCCCCGCGGCCCGCGGCGCUGCCGCCCACGAUUCUGGUCAGCGUUGCUGCCGGCGCCAGGCCGCAGUCUGCGGGAGAGGCGGGCAUGGGUCGGCGGUCAGACCACGCCUCCUCCACGCAGACCGCCCAGCUUCGCCCCUGCGCGCAGUCCCGGGUAGCGGUGCCUGGGAGCAGGGAGUGGGGUGGGGGACCCACCUCGGGGAAACGCCUUCCCCCAGGGACCCUGGGCCUGGCGCUUGGUCCUACAAACGAGCCUCUUCAGGGCUUUUCUCGGAUAAUGCAUUUAAGUUUGGUUCCUGUAACCUCCAGCUGGGGGCCAGGCCAGCAUCCCCUGUCGCUCCCCACUCCUCCCAGGCCUCUUUCAGGCCCCUAGGAGCCAAGUUCCCUGCUGCCCCAGGGCCUUUGCACACCCCAGCUGCUUCCCAGGAGGCCCUGCCUGGUCUCACCAGCUCCUGCACUGGCUGGUCUUCCUGGAUGCCCUGUCAGGGGCUCUUUACCUGGGUCUAGUGACCCAGUGUCCUUCCCAGGGUAGUCCCUCCGUCCUGUGACACCCUUCCCCACCUGCAGCACAGGGUGCACCCUCGGAACACAAGAGUAGGAAGACCAAACGGGUAGCUCCGAGGAGUGCUGCAGGGACCGCCGUCGGCACCCGGGGCGGGGGCGGGGGGGGGGGAGCGCGCGCUCAGGUACACAUCUGAUAAUUCCCACAGGCUGUUUUCCAGCUCCACAGCCAGUGCCCCCUCCCCAGCCCUGUCUCCCACCAGCCAGCCGCCUCCCCUGCCCUCCAUGGUCGGGGAAGGCCCUCCUGUCCCCACACCGAACAAUGUGUGCCGUGUCAGGAACCCUCCUCCACCUCCUGGCCCCCACGUUGAGAACUGUAGCUACGGGAAAAGGAAGAAUCACCAGGCUGGAGGCCCGACCCAGAGACAGCCGGCUGCAGAGUUAACAAGAACCCGUAUUUCUCCCAAGGACACGGUGCAGCCGUAAAGUAUCAAAACGCCCCCUCCUCUGAGUAUCCCUGCUGGACGGGCAGGGGCAGCGAGUUCCCCUUGCGCCUGGAGGAUCUCAGUCACAGAGACUGUGCCCCGAUUUCCAGCCCAGUCCAGCACCUCAGCUGAGGGGUCUCUGGACUCGACUUUCUUGUGGUACCCGGAGAGGCACCAUGUCCAGACCCCUGGCACGUGGUCUGCUUUGCUCUGAGCCGGUCAAACUCCGCUUCCUCUCAGCGUCCCCUCCAGCCCCCUGCCCCGGAUCCCACAGCGCCUGCCUCUCCCUCUGGUGAGCCGCCCCUUGGUUCUUUGGUGUGCGCUGCCUUGCUGCAGCGAGCCCGUAACCCUGACUUUGUGGGUGCAGGUCUGUAUCUGGGGACUUGGGGUGACUGGGCCAGCCUCUGUGUGAAUGUGGGGGGCGACGAAGGGCGGGGAACAGAAGCCGGGCCCCGUUCUAAGCUUGGUGCCCGGGACACUGUGGACGGCAUCUAUCUGAGGCAUAGGAACUUGCCUACAUUAGAUGGGGCCUUACUUCUGACCCAGAAAUAGGGCGGUUUCCUAUGGUUCUGAUGAACAUUUAAUAAAAAUGAACUCCACAUCUCAGACGCAAGCUCAGGGCCACGUUCUCUGUCUCAUCUGUCAGCCAGUUACUGCCCUGUUGUACCCCCCUUAGGCCUGUGGGACCAGCCGUUAACGUGUGCAUCUGCCCUGUCAGUGCCGGGUCCCUGCCGUCGGGGCCUACGAUGGUCUGACUUGUGUCCCCUCCAAAAUUCGUAAGUGGAAGCCCCUGACCCCCAGAACCUCAGGAUGGGACUUUUGGAGAUGGGGCCUUUAAAGAGACGAUUAAAGUAAAAUGAGGUUCGGGUGGCCCUAAUCUAGCAUGACUGGUGUCCGUAUAAUAAGAGGAGAUUAGGACACAGACACCCACAGAGGGGAGACCACAUGAGGAUGCGGGGAGAAGAUGGCCGUCCUCACACCGAGGAGAGAGGCCUCAGAGGACUCCAGCCCUGCCGACACCAUCUCCACCCCCCAGACUGGGACGCUGUGACAGCAGCCCUAGCAGAGGCACCGCCAGGCGCUCCCGUGCUGCCACGAGUGGGAGAAACAACUCAGCAGAGCUGGACACGCACAGGACCUCAGCAGGACGGGCCUCACGCCCGCGUGGGGCUGUGAGACCUUGUGUGACCUUGAGCAAGUCACCUCUCUCUGAGCCAGGAUUGCUCUUACUUUUGCAUU